rnacentral:rRNA from 1 species
UACGUAGGGGGCAAGCGUUGUCCGGAUUUAUUGGGCGUAAAGAGCUCGUAGGUGGUUCGGUAAGUCGGAUGUGAAAUCUCCAGGCUCAACCUGGAGGGGUCAUUCGAUACUGCCGUGACUAGAGGUCGGUAGGGGAGUGUGGAAUUCCCGGUGUAGCGGUGAAAUGCGCAGAUAUCGGGAAGAACACCCGUGGCGAAGGCGGCACUCUGGGACGGUACUGACGCUGAGACGCGAAAGCGUGGGGAGCGAACAGG